UACGAAGGGGGCGAGCGCUGUUCGGAAUUACUGGGCGUAAAGGGCGCGCAGGCGGCCUUAGAAGUCAGAUGUGAAAGCCCCGGGCUCAACCUGGGAAUGGCAUUUGAUACUCUGAGGCUGGAGUACGGGAGAGGAGAGUGGAAUUCCCAGUGUAGAGGUGAAAUUCGUAGAUAUUGGGAAGAACACCGGUGGCGAAGGCGGCUCUCUGGACCGUAACUGACGCUGAGGCGCGAAAGCGUGGGGAGCAAACAGG
rnacentral:rRNA from 1 species